rnacentral:pre_miRNA from 1 species
UUUUAUGAGUGAGAAAAGAAAGUGGUUUUUUGAGAUGAAAUCUACUUCUGGUGAAUAUGCUAUGAA